GUACUCCCUUCGGCGGUACAUAUAUUAAGAAUUGGAACCAUAGAGAGAAGAUUAGCAUGGCCCCUGCGCAAGGAUGAGGAGUAAAAUCGUGAAGCGUUCGAGUUCCGU
rnacentral:snRNA from 1 species